rnacentral:tRNA from 1 species
GGGGGUGUAGCUCAGUGGCACAGCGCCUGGCAAGUGUGAGGCCCUGAGUUCGAGUCCCAGUACCCCCA